rnacentral:rRNA from 1 species
CCCUUAGAUGUUCUGGGCGGCCCGCGCACUACAUUGGCACUCUCAAUAAGUUCCUAGAUCUAAAACUUUGGGGUAUUCUAUUAAGUGGUGUCGUGACUGGGAUUAACCCUUGCAAUUAUUGAUUACGAACGAGGAAUUCCUUGUAAUCGCGGUUUAUCAGCCCGCGUUGAAUGCGUCCCUGCCCUUUGUACACACCGCCCGUCGCUCCUACCGAUGAAUCGUCCGGUGAAGUUCAUGGAGUGGUGGUUGUUCCAGCUGCUGUCGAAGUGAAAUGGACCUCACGAUUUAGAGGAAGGAGAAGUCGUAACA